UGAAACAUACCGAAAAGCAGAGUAAGUUAGUGGAUAAUUUUAGAGAGCUUCCGUUGUGGUGAAAGGAAGUAUUUGAAGCUGACCGAAUAUGGGCUUGGAAUGGUGAUAGCGAUAGUUAGCUGUCAACGGGUUUGCACACGUUAUUAGUGCAAGGUAUUUCCGAAAAUAAUAUUUUUGGAGAAACUUGUAGAGAUCAAAUCUGUGAAGAUUUGAUGAACCAAAAGGUGGUAUCGCGAUAAGUCGUCCUUUAU
rnacentral:ncRNA from 1 species